rnacentral:rRNA from 1 species
UACGUAGGGUGCGAGCGUUGUCCGGAAUUACUGGGCGUAAAGAGCUCGUAGGUGGUUUGUCGCGUUGUCCGUGAAAACUCACAGCUUAACUGUGGGCGUGCGGGCGAUACGGGCAGACUGGAGUACUGCAGGGGAGACUGGAAUUCCUGGUGUAGCGGUGAAAUGCGCAGAUAUCAGGAGGAACACCGGUGGCGAAGGCGGGUCUCUGGGCCGAUACUGACGCUGGAGGAGCGAAAGCCGUGGGGAGCGAACAGG